rnacentral:lncRNA from 1 species
GCCGCUGCCACGCUGGCUCUCCCACACUCACUCCCGCCCUCCAGCUGCUAUAGCUAAAAUCUGGAGCCACGGAGUUCACUUUUCUAUAGAAGACAAAGCUGAGCAUGCUCAGUGGCCAAGGCAAAGUUUGGUCGGAAACUAGUUUUUGCAUUAGACUCUCCAUGGGCUCCAUAGACUCUCCUGUACCUUACGACUAGGCACAGGAGCGUUUCCCCGGUGAAAUGGAGAAGAGGACACUUGGUCUUUUCAACUUUACUAGGAGGGCUCCUUUCUUCCCAGUCCGUAAGGAGGGGUCUGACUUUCAUUUCCACCCCAGCAUUAUCACCUUAACUCUCAUUCCAGUCAAUCCCGAAACUCCGUUGCCCUACCCACUUCACCCUUCUUUUGUUUGUCCUGAUUUGAUUCCUGCGUUCUCACAGAGGGCUACCUGGACUUUGAACCUCCACCCCCCUUUCUACAUUCUUGCAUUCCAGAAACAUAUGAAGCUCAUUUCUGCCACCCUUCCUAGAAAACUGGUUCCUGACAGAGACAUGUGGAAAGGUAAGUAAACCUGGGCCCAAGAUCACAGAGCACACAGCUGGAAUUCACAGCAAGACCUGAUUGACUUCGAAGUCAGUGGUCUUUCCCCUGCUUCCCACGAGACAGGUAAUCCCUCAGCUUACUCUUGAAGAGGCAAUGUGGGCUACUGCAUUUGAAUGUCUGAAUUCAAGCCUUGUAGAAACAACUAGCAGUAACCAAACACCAUUAUUUUUGUUUGUUCAUUUGUUUCCAAAUGACUUGUGACUUUUCUAAUGGAGAAAACACUCAACCCAAAUCUUAAUUCCACCAACAAUGAGUGUGUGCCUUGGACAAUUCACAGCCUGUCUGAGCUAGUUUAUUUUAGAGUAAGCAAGUUGGAGUAGGUGACCUCUGUGUUCUUUGUAAUUUGAGACGUUUUGGUGUUCACACAGGUUACUACAUGAAGAGCUGGGACUGGAAUACAGGUUUUCUAUGUUCACCUGGGGAUAGCUUUUCCAUCAUCCCUCCUGAGUCUGUGAGGUAUCCCAGUUUUUAAGCCAGAACUUUGAAACCAGAAGUAAAUGGUUAAGUUUAUCUGUCUAUGCCUAUGUGUAUUCUAGCCAAAUAAACCAUGACACUUAAAACAAUUUCAAUAUUUCAAAGAUGUAGUAAAUUUCCUUGAACCUUUUUUAUUGUUUUUUAUAAAUUAAAAAUUAUGAAAUAAUUCAAACAUUUUUAAAAUAGGAAAUAACGUGAUAUGCAUGUACCCCAUACCCAGAUUUAAUAGAUGUUUACAUUAUGCAGUAUCUGUUUCUUUUUUUUUUUUUUUUCUUGAGACAGAGUCUUGCUCUGUCACCCAGGCUGGAGUGCAGUGGCAUAAUCUCGGCUCACUGCAACCUCCGCCUCCCGGGUUCAAGCGAUUCUCCUGCCUCAGCCUCCUGAGUAGGUGAGAUUACAGGCGCGCACCACCAAGUCCAGCUAUUUUUUGUGUUUUUAGUAGAGACAGGGUUUCACCAUGUUGGUCAGGCUGGUCUCGAACUCCUGACCUCGUGAUCCACCUACCUUGGCCUCCCAAAGUGCUGGGAUUGCAGGCAUGAGCCACCGCACCUGGCCUUCAAUUUUUUGAUAGAAGUAAGACAUCACAGGUACAAUCAAAGUUUCCUAAUCUUAUAUUUCUUCUCACACUUCCCAGAGGAAAAUGACUAUUCUAAAGUUAGUUACUUCUAUUUCUUAAUUGUAAUACAUUUAUUCAUAUUCUUAAGACAUUUAUGUAAUAUUGUGUUAAGUAUUUUUGAAAUGUAUAUAAAUGGAAUCAUACAAUAAAGACCCUCAGCAGUUUUUUUUCACUGAAUGUUCUGGUUUCAAGAUUUAUCCAUGUGAAUAUGUGUAGGUCUAGUUUAUUCAUUUUAAUUAUUGUGUUAUAUUUUAUUGUAUGACCAUAACAUUUAUUUUUUCUUUUGAUUGUGAAUUUAAUUUUUUUAAUAUUUAAACAGUGCUGCAAUGAACAUUUUUCCUUAUAUCUAUCUGCUUGUUCCUGUGAGCUUCUCAAACCAUGACCUGAAGAUCGCUACCAGUUCAUAACUAAUUAAGUACAGAAAUUGACAAUAUUAAUUUAGAAACUUUAAUAGCAAUCCAACUGAGUACUUUUAUGUCUAUUGAAUCCAAUAAUACAGAAUAUUGAGUUCUGUAUUUUGUAUGUCUGUUUUAAAAUUUUAUUUUUUUGAGAUAGGGUCUCACUCUGUCUCCUAGGCCAGAGUGCAGUGGCGCAAUCACAGCUCACUGUAGCCUCAAAACUCCCAGGCUCAGGUGAUCGAUCCUCUCACCUCAGCUCCUGAGGAGCUAGGACUACAGGCGCACACCACCAUACCUGGCUAAUUUUUUCACUUGUUAUAGAGAUGGGGCUUUGCCAUCUUGCCCAGACUGGUCUCGAACUCCUGGGCUCAAGUGAUCCAUCCACCUCAGCCUUCCAACAUGCUGGGACUACAGGCAUGAGCCACUGUCCCCAGCCAAAAUUUUAUUUAUUCAUUUUCAUUGUAUUUUACAAACAUAUUGAUCCUCAGCAGCAUGGAAAUAUUUUUAGAAAACUUGCCUUUUUAUUACAGAUAGUUUGAGACUUUCUGCAUGGUUUCUACUUGCAAGUUGAAUUUCUGGCUUGAUGAAUAAGUGCAUCUUUAGCUCUAAAACAUAUAAACAAAUUCCACUCCAGAAUGGUCAAACCAAUUUUCAAUCUCUUCUGCAGUGUAUAAGUUUCCUUUUCCAACAGUUGCAUUAUCAGACCUUUAAAUCUUUUCUCAAUAUGAUAGCUAUGAAAUAUUUUAUUUAACUAGCAAUUAUCUGAUAAAUAGUGACGUUGAACAUCUAUUUAUAUGCUAAUUACAUUCCCAGUUACCUGACUUUAACAAGGCAGGUUUUCCAGUUUGCAAGUAUGGGGAAAAUAUGUCUUUAAAAAUCUAGCUAUAGCAGGCAAAGUAUCAUAACAGGUAAAACUGGUUUUUAAGAAGAAAAGCCUAGGAACAGCUAGCUUUGACUUGAUGAAGGACAGGAAAAACCAGUUGUAGCAAUUGAGUACAUGGACAGAUACUUUAGAGUACAUGUCUUUUCCGGUAUUUUGGUUUUGGGACAAUCCCUCCAUCACCAUUAUGACGUUUCAGUGGAGCAAUUUUCACUAAGAAUUUUGUACCUGUUUUCCAGUUUUGAUCAUCGAUGAUUUUCUGGUUCUAAUGAGAUCAAGGACAUGAAGAGGCUGAGUGCCUCCAUGAGCUUCAUUAUUUUCCAUGAUCUGACCUCUCAUUCUCUUAAGCUUUGGAGUUGGAUGAAGGAAGAACUCUGAAAAAAAGUAUCUGCACCCAAGGACCCACACCCAAGGAGCAGUACCAGAGGGAACACAUCUGAAGAGCCCUAUCUGGAUUUGCCAACAUGAUUUAGAUGAUAAGAUACUGGACUUUGAGCUGGUGCCAUAAUGGGAUGAGGCUUUGGGAGUCCAAAGGGAGAUAAGUGUAAGUGUAUUUCACCGGUGAAGAAUGUAAAACAUAAAAGGCCAGAACAUGAACUCUGCAGCUAAUCUCCAAAGAUGGCUCUCAGUGAACCACACCUCAUGGAAUUCAUGUCCUUGCAUAGUCCCCUCCCGCACUGAAUCUGGGUUAACUUUGUGACUUUCUCUAACUAUCAGAAUGUGACAGAAGUAACAAUAUGAUACAUCCCUCCAUUUAGUGAGAUCAUCUUUAAUUUCUCCCAAUAAUGUUUUGUAGUUUUCUGUGUAGAGGUCUUACAAAUUUUUUAGAUUGAUUCUUUGACAUGUGACUUUUCUAUGCUGUUGAUAAAUGAUAUUUUGUUAAAAUUUUUAUUUUCUAAUUGCUUGUUACUAGCAUAUAGAAACUUAAUUACAUAUAGAAACUAAGUACAGGACUUUGUUUAUUGACUAUGUAUUCAGUGGCCUUGGUUAAUUCCUCUUUUAAUUGUAAUAGUUUUUCUGUAGUUCUUUUGGAUUUUUCUAUGUGUAUAAUUAUAUAUGAAUAAUGACAGAUUCAUUUCUUAAUUUCCAGUCCUCUAAUAGGGUUUCUUUAUUUCUUUUUCUAACUUUGAUGCACUAGCUAGAACCUACAAAAUAAUGUGGAAAAAAAGCAACCAUCCUUGCCUCAUUCCUGAUUUUAGAGGAAAAGCUCUUAAUAUUAACUAUGAUGUUUUUAAUGGGGUUUAUUUAGAGAUCUUUGUGAAGGCAAGAGUUUUUUUAAUAAAUGAAUCUUGAGUUUUAUAAAAAAUUUUUACUGCAUCUAUCAAGAUGGUCAUAUGAUUUUUAAAUUCUGUUACUGCAGUAAAUUAUAUUGAUUUUUUAAUCUAAAAACAAUCUUACAUAUCUGAAAUAAACCCACUUUGGUCAUGAUGCAUUAUUCUUUUUGUGUAACACUGGAUUUGAUUCUUUUAUUUAUUUAUUUUAGAGUUUUUGCUUAUAUGUUCACAAGAGACAGUGACUUGUUAUUUUUUUCUUGUAUGUUCUUGUCAGGUUUGAGAAUCAAGGAUAUGUUGGUCUUACAAAAUUAUUUGGGAAGUACUUGUUCUUUUUUAACUUUCUGGAAAAGUUUUUAUAAAUUUGAUAUGAUUACUUCUUUAAAUAUUUGGUAAACUUCACUAGGGAAGCAUCUAGGAUGGGAAAAUUUUUAGUUAUGGACUCAAUUUCUUUAAUAGAUAUAAAACUAUUCAAAUCCUUCUAUUUCCAACACUCUGAUUUUGGCACAUUGAGAUUCUCUAUGAAUUUGUCUAUUUUAUCUAAAUUUUCAAAAUUACUGACAUAAAAGUCACAUAGACCUCUUAGGAUUUUUUUAAAUGAGUUUUCAUUCUUGAAAUUAUUUAUUUGCACAUUCUCACUCUCUCUUCUUGAUCAAACUGGCCAGAUGUUUGUCAAUUUAAGGCUCUUAAAAAAAAAGAUACAACCUUUGGAUUUGUUAAACCUCAUUAUACAUGUAUUUGUAUUUUUUCCAUUGGUUUCUAGUUUGUUGUUUAUAAUUUACCUAAUUUACUUUUUUUGAGUUAAAAUUUGCUUUUCUUUUUCAAACUUCUUGAAAUGGAUACUUACAUGAUUCUAUUUCCCUAAUGCUUUAUUUAAGCCUAUAAAUUUCCCUUGAAUCAUAGACUCGGAUUCAGCCCACCCAUUUUGAUAUGUUACAUUUUUAAUAUAUUAAAUAUAAAAUGUCUUCUCAUUCCUAUUGUGAUUUUGGUUUGACCUAUUGAAUCAUUUAGUAGUACAUUAUUAACUUCUAAAACUGGGAGGUUUUAGUAUGGCAUUUUUGUUAUUUAUUGCUCGUUUAAUUAUAUGUGGUCAGAAAGCAUAUUCCAUAUUAUUUCAGUUUCUUAAUCUUUGUUAAGGCUUCCUUUAUGGUCAAG